rnacentral:tRNA from 1 species
GGCCGGUUAGCUCAGUGGUUUGAGCGUAGUGCUGACAACAAUGACCAACACGGAGGUUGCGGGUUCAGUUCCCGCUCGGUCC